rnacentral:lncRNA from 1 species
UCAAUGUAAUAAGUAAAAGUGUUAAUAUAUCCAAAGGGACAUCUGCUGAGUCAAGAGAUAGACUGGAAGAAGAGUGUGCUCAACAACACUGGGAAAGCAGAUUUUAAUGCAACCAGUGAUUCUUCUUUAAGGCCUCGUUAGCCUGUGUUUUGUAGGCUCCGAGACAGAGUGAAAAUGAACUUCACAUCAUAAAUAUGCUUUGGUACCUAACCAAAAAAUGCAAGCAUUCAUCAGAGACACGUGCGUUUGUGUAGAUUUGGUGACUGAGGACAUUUUCUAUAAAUCUGAAUUAUAAAUGACCAUUUAUAAUUCAGAAGCAGGUGCAAUGCCAGUAUGCCAAGCUGUUGUGAUGAGAAGUGUUAUUUUCCCAAAGUUGGCCCAAAAUAAUGCCAUACAUGAGAAUAGGAAAAGUACCGAUAGAAGCACUCCUGUGGUCUGAGUAUCCCACGCAUUUAAAAGGUUUACAGAACAAUGGCAAUCUGAGAAUACCAUGGUUACAAUUAAGACAGAUGGGAAGACCUUUCCAGAAUAAGAAUCCAAUGAAGUUUUGAGAAUCCUAAGGAGAGCAAACAUCUCUUUUGUAAUUGAACCAGGACAUACAUAUGGUAGAAAUAGCCUCUCUAUAGUUAAUGAGGAAGAAUAGUAAUGCUGAGUUAAUGUGCUUCACAAAAAAGCAAAGAAGCCAAUUAUUUUCAUUUAUUGAAGUGACUGCAUUUUAUUCCUGUUCCCUUAGAUAUCCCUAAUUAUAGUCAAAGUUAUUAUUCAUCUUUUGCCCAAUUAUUCCUUUACUCUGUAUUUAUUGUUGCUACAUAUUUCAUUUAGAGAUAGUUAUUAAAAUAAGUUAGAUAUAUAUUAAGCUAAGGUUGUAUGAAAAUAUGAUACAACCAAAAGGCAUUUUAAAACUGAUUUCAUGAAUGUUGAAAAUAUAGAAUUAAUACAAAUCUAAAAUUCUUGUUAUUUUUAAAUGAAAAUCUAUGUGUCUAAUAAGACUGUCCCAAUAUUUAACUUCUAGUUUAUUAACUUUGCAGCAUUUAGUUUAAUUUGUUUUUCAGACAGUUUUUCAAAGACAAUUGACUAACACUAGACAAAAACAUAAAAUGUAAGUUAAAGAAAAAAGGAAAAACAUGGAAUACUGAUGUGGGAGGAGUUAGAUUAUACUCUAUCAUCUCUAGAGAACAAAAGAAGAAGAGGAGAAGCAUUCAUACACACAAGUAAAUAAUAAAGUCAUAGCCUGAAUUCUAAGAAGAAUAAAAAUGACUGUUAUAAGAUGCAUAAAGUAAACUGUAAUUACAUGAGGAAAGUAAAGAAUUGUAAACAUAAAAAAAUAAAAUAAAAUAAAAUAAAACCAGUCAUAUGUACAGACUUAAAAACUAUUUAAACUUAAAAGAAAAACAUAUACAAAGGCAGGGUCUCACAUUUUUCUUUCUAACGUAUACACAGUGUGCUCUGUGCUGGUAGUAGGUGUGGAGCUGUCCCCUCAACUGCAUGGUAAUUGAUCUCGGAGAAUGGUGUUUUGCAAGCCUGGCAAUCUCGUUAGUCGGUGAUCUUUCCCAGUUUUGCUCCAAAAGCAGAAUUCUCUUGUGUGAUCACUCAAGUUGCUUGCAAAACUUUUUUUCCAAAUUCAAUUUUUGCUAUUUCCCAAAAUCAAAUCUAUCAUGUAAAGGUCAAGGAUUUUCCUGGCAGUGAACAUUUAAAAGAAUGCACCACGAGUUCUUGUAGUCACUUGCUGUUGGGAAUUUCACAGGAUGCUAUGCACUUCAGUAGGAUCAUUAGAUUAAGGCUACAGUUCCUCCAGGGACUGAUGCAGAAUGCACUGCUUUUCACUUGCAAGUAUAAUGUCUCUUGCAUUACAAAAUUUUAAAUCAUGCACAUCCAUUUAUAGCCACACCUGUACGCUUCCCGUAAAAAAGCAGGGCAGUGUAGACAUAUUCCUAUAACAGCAAAUCACAGAAAUGCCUUUUACUUUUUCUUUGUAGUGAUCUCUGUGUCCCUUCAAGACCUAUAUCCUUCAUAAGUGACAUGGAUCUAUAUAAGAAGCAGUAGGGAAGUGACUAUUAUUGCCCUUCUGUGUCAAAGUCUACAGUUGGUAUAUACCUGUAACUUCCUUGUGUCUGUCUUUGAACAUCAAAGAUCAUUAUUUCGUUUGAAAAGCAACCCGUAGUAUUCCCUUAGUUUAAGAACAUACUGAGGCAAAGCAGUUUCUAAAGAGGUCAGAGUUAGAACACACUAUAGGUUUCUAAAAAUAUAUAGCCUAGUGACUUUGUCUACUGGUUUUGCUAACUACCCAUAAAGAUGCAUUUCCACUAAUAGGAAGAAAAGCAAACAGAAACAUUAAUGCUUUCUGGAGAAGGCAUACAAGAGAGAGGCAGAUAAACUUCAAUGAAAUAAAAUACAGAGAAAUUCAUUUUGCAAAUCAGUAAAAGAGGAUAUGAUUAUGAUGUUCUACAGGUACAGAAACGAAGUAGAGAAUCAGUGCUUCUCAUGG